UGGGGAAUCUUGCACAAUGGGGGCAACCCUGAUGCAGCGACGCCGCGUGAGCGAUGAAGCCCUUCGGGGCGUAAAGCUCUUUCGACCGGAACGAUAAUGACGGUACCGGGAGAAGAAGCUGCGGCUAACUACGUGCCAGCAGCCGCGGUAAUACGUAGGCAGCAAGCGUUGUUCGGAGUUACUGGGCGUAAAGAGUGCGUAGGCGGUUUUCUAAGUUCGGUGUGAAAUCUCCCUGCUUAACUGGGAGGGUGCGCCGAAGACUGGGAAGCUGGAGUGUGGGAAAGGCAGGCGGAAUUCCUGGUGUAGCGGUGAAAUGCGUAGAUAUCAGGAGGAACACCGGCGGUGUAGACGGCUUGCUAGACCAUAACUGACGCUGAGGCACGAAAGCGUGGGUAGCAAAC
rnacentral:rRNA from 1 species